rnacentral:rRNA from 1 species
UACGGAGGGGGCUAGCGUUGUUCGGAAUUACUGGGCGUAAAGCGCACGUAGGCGGCUUUGUAAGUUAGAGGUGAAAGCCCGGGGCUCAACUCCGGAACUGCCUUUAAGACUGCAUCGCUAGAAUGUGGAGAGGUAAGUGGAAUUCCGAGUGUAGAGGUGAAAUUCGUAGAUAUUCGGAAGAACACCAGUGGCGAAGGCGACUUACUGGACACAUAUUGACGCUGAGGUGCGAAAGCGUGGGGAGCAAACAGG